rnacentral:rRNA from 1 species
GACGAACGCUGGCGGCGUGCUUAACACAUGCAAGUCGAACGGAAAGGCCCUGCUUUUGUGGGGUGCUCGAGUGGCGAACGGGUGAGUAACACGUGAGUAACCUGCCCUUGCCUUUGGGAUAACUUCAGGAAACUGGGGCUAAUACCGGAUAGGAGCUCCUGCUGCAUGGGGGGGGUUGGAAAGUUUCGGCGGUUGGGGAUGGACUCGCGGCUUAUCAGCUUGUUGGUGGGGUAGUGGCUUACCAAGGCUUUGACGGGUAGCCGGCCUGAGAGGGUGACCGGCCACCUUGGGACUGAGCUACGGCCCAGAGUCCUACGGGAGGCAGCAGUGGGGACUAUAGCCCAAUGCGCGGAAGCCUGAUGCAGCAACGCCGCGUGCGGGAUGACGGCCUUCGGGUUGUAAACCGCUUUCGCCUGUGACGAAGCGUGAGUGACGGUAAUGGGUAAAGAAGCACCGGCUAACUACGUG